GGGACUCUAGCAUAGCGGUAAUGCACCUGUCUCAUAAACAGUCGAUGCGGAGUUCAAGUCUCCGGGGUCCCACCA
rnacentral:tRNA from 1 species